rnacentral:rRNA from 1 species
GACGAACGCUGGCGGCGUGCUUAACACAUGCAAGUCGAACGGAAAGGCCCUGCUUUUGUGGGGUGCUCGAGUGGCGAACGGGUGAGUAACACGUGAGUAACCUGCCCUUGACUUUGGGAUAACUUCAGGAAACUGGGGCUAAUACCGGAUAGGAGCUCCUGCUGCAUGGUGGGGGUUGGAAAGUUUCGGCGGUUGGGGAUGGACUGGCGGCUUAUCAGCUUGUUGGUGGGGUAGUGGCUUACCAAGGCUUUGACGGGUAGCCGGCAUGAGAGGGUGACCGGCCACCUUGGGACUGAGAGACGGACCAGACUCCUACGGGAGGCAGCAGUGGGGAAUAUUGCACAAUGGGCGGAAGCCUGAUGCAGAAACGCCGCGUGCGGGAUGACGGCCUUCGGGUUGUAAACCGCAUUAGCCUGUGACGAAGCGUGAGUGACGGUACUGGGUAAAGAAGCACCGGCUAACUACGUG